rnacentral:rRNA from 1 species
AACGAACGCUGGCGGCAUGCCUAACACAUGCAAGUCGAGCGAAACCUUCGGGUCUAGUGGCGCACGGGUGCGUAACGCGUGGGAACCUGCCCUUAGGUUCGGAAUAACUCCCCGAAAGGGGUGCUAAUACCGGAUAAUGUCUUCGGCCCAAAGAUUUAUCGCCUUUGGAUGGGCCCGCGUUGGAUUAGCUAGUUGGUAGGGUAAAAGCCUACCAAGGCGACGAUCCAUAGCUGGUCUGAGAGGAUGAUCAGCCACACUGGGACUGAGACACGGCCCAGACUCCUACGGGAAGCAGCAGUGGGGAAUAUUGGACAAUGGGCGAAAGCCUGAUCCAGCAAUGCCGCGUGAGUGAUGAAGGCCUUAGGGUUGUAAAGCUCUUUUACCCGGGAUGAUAAUGACAGUACCGGGAGAAUAAGCUCCGGCUAACUCCGUG